rnacentral:lncRNA from 1 species
GGCAAUAGAAUUUUUUGGUGUAAAUGCAUGUUAGAGACAUAGUAUAAUGGACUAUGCUCAUAAAACAUACCACAUACAAAAAAGAAUAUGCAAAAGGUGUGGCCUAAUCACAUCCAUACUCAUGUCAAUUUUUCAAUCAACUAGCAUUAGGACUUUGAGAUGUCAUAGGCCAAAUGGAAUAAAUGGAUUAAGAAGAUGAAUGAGAUGAAGUGGGAAGGGGAUGAAUGAGAUCACAAAUUGGUCAAAGGAGG